rnacentral:rRNA from 1 species
CCACUGGAAACGGUGGCUAAUACCGGAUAAGCCUUUGGGUAAAAAAUUUAUUGCCCCAAGAGGAGCUCGCGUCUGAUUAGCUAGUUGGUGAGGUAAGAGCUCACCAAGGCAGCGAUCAGUAGCUGGUCUGAGAGGACGAUCAGCCACACUGGGACUGAGACACGGCCCAGACUCCUACGGGAGGCAGCAGUGGGGAAUUUUCCGCAAUGGGCGAAAGCCUGACGGAGCAAGACCGCGUGAGGGAGGAAGGCUCUUGGGUUGUAAACCUCUUUUCUCAGGGAAGAAGCUCUGACGGUACCUGAGGAAUCAGCCUCGGCUAACUCCGUGCCAGCAGCCGCGGUAAUACGGAGGAGGCAAGCGUUAUCCGGAAUUAUUGGGCGUAAAGCGUCCGCAGGUGGCGAUUCAAGUCUGCUGUCAAAGCACGGGGCUUAACUCCGUUAAGGCAGUGGAAACUGAAUAGCUAGAGUGCCGUAGGGGUAGAGGGAAUUCCCGGUGUAGCGGUGAAAUGCGUAGAGAUCGGGAAGAACAUCGGUGGCGAAAGCGCUCUACUGGACGGCAACUGACACUCAGGGACGAAAGCUAGGGGAGCGAAUGGGAUUAGAUACCCCAGUAGUCCUAGCUGUAAACGAUGGAUACUAGGUGUAGCUUGUAUCGACCCGAGCUGUGCCGAAGCUAACGCGUUAAGUAUCCCGCCUGGGGAGUACGCACGCAAGUGUGAAACUCAAAGGAAUUGACGGGGGCCCGCACAAGCGGUGGAGUAUGUGGUUUACUUCGAUGCAACGCGAAGAACCUUACCAGGGCUUGACAUGUCCGG